rnacentral:sRNA from 1 species
AGUUCCCGGGUCCCUCGGCCACCGAAGCCGCCCUGCCCUGAUGAAAGGGCUCCCGCACCGCCCGGUGCUCACCAUCUGCCUGGCGUUGUGCGCAGAGCUGGAAAGCAGCUGUUAUAAAUGAAUUCUGAUUUUGGGGAGCAGAUGCCAACUUAGAGCCUCGUACCAAUCUCUCUGUCUUUAAAAGGUGAGGUGACUUAGUGAUUUUCCUGGAAAAUUAUAGAGGUGGACACUGAGGUGGACACUGCGGGUUGUGAGGUUCAGGAGGGGUAGGUGGCUGGCACAAGGUCACAGAGCAGCGCUGCCAUUUGGCUACUUCCCAAUUCAGCAUAGCUGCCGUCUCUGCCGGUGGUAUUCUCAGCAUGCAAGGUGAAAUACUCACCAAGGAAGCAGGGGCUAACUCCUCACAGAGCCCUCACGGUUUCCUGUUUCCUGACAAAAAGGUAGGAAAAGAGGGCAUGUUUUGGCCAUAACAUUGAAGACAACCUUGGGAAUGCUAAUUCAAUGAGUCUUUGGUAGAGGAAGAAAAGGAAUUUCCCAAGAUUUGAGCAAAAGGUGCCCAGCUAAGACCUGAAUGCCAUCACC